UGCAUCAGGCCAGAAGACAUGAG
rnacentral:miRNA from 1 species